GAGUAUUUAAUAUUGCUUCAGCAGAGGAACCGGAUAUUAAAGCAUUUGAAAAGCAAGGACCCCGUGCAAUUGAGGCUGGAGCACUUGGAGCAAGGUUUCUCUGUCUAUGUCAACGGUGCCAAUUCGGAGCUGAAAUCAUCACCGCGGAAAGCUAUUCACUCUGACUUCUCCAGAAGUGCCUCCCACACGGAGGGGACACACGAUUAUGGACGAAGAACUCUGUUUCGAGAAGCUGAAGAAGCCUUAAGACGCAGUUCACGGACAGCCCCCAGUAAAGUCCAGCGCCGAGGAUGGCACCAGAACCUUGUAUGCAGUCGGCGCUCAGUAAAAG
rnacentral:lncRNA from 1 species